UACGUAGGGGGCAAGCGUUGUCCGGAUUUAUUGGGCGUAAAGAGCGUGUAGGCGGCCAGAUAGGUCUGUUGUGAAAACUCGAGGCUCAACCUCGAGACGCCGAUGGAAACCAUUUGGCUAGAGUCCGGAAGAGGAGAGUGGAAUUCCUGGUGUAGCGGUGAAAUGCGCAGAUAUCAGGAGGAACACCGGUGGCGAAGGCGGGUCUCUGGGCCGAUACUGACGCUGAGGAGCGAAAGCAUGGGGAGCGAACAGG
rnacentral:rRNA from 1 species